UCUGCCCUUUUGGGCAUUGCAGAUGUGACUGCUGUGUCACAUGAGCACUAGUAGGUGGCAGAGAGUAGAAAAGCUAUGUUUACAUUUAGUGCUCUGCCCUAUUAGCCAGGAAUCAAAGAUAAGGAGCUAGCCUGA